rnacentral:rRNA from 1 species
UACGGGGGAGCAAGCGUUGUUCGGAUUUACUGGGCGUAAAGGGCGCGUAGGCGGCCAGCACAAGUCAGUUGUGAAAUCUCCGAGCUUAACUCGGAAAGGUCAACUGAUACUGUGCGGCUAGAGUGGCGGAAGGGGCAACUGGAAUUCUUGGUGUAGCGGUGAAAUGCGUAGAUAUCAAGAGGAACACCUGCGGCGAAGGCGGGUGCUGGGCCGACACUGACGUGAGGCGCGAAAGCCAGGGAGCGAACGGG